UUAACAGGAACCAGUCGGGGGCAUCAGUAUUCAGUUGUCAGAAGGUGAAAUUCUUGGAUUUACUGAAGACUAACUACUGCGAAAGCAUUUGCCAAGGAUGUUUUCAUUAAUCAGUGAACGAAAGUUAGGGGAUCGAAGACGAUCAGAUACCGUCGUAGUCUUAACCGUAAACUAUGCCGACUAGGGAUCGGGCGAUGUUCUUUUUUCUGACUCGCUCGGCACCUUACGAGAAAUCAAAGUUUUUGGGUUCUGGGGGGAUUAUGGUCGCAAGGCUGAAACUUAAAGAAAUUGACGGAAGGUCACCACCAGGCGUGGAGCCUGCGACUUAAUUUGACUCAACACGGGGAAACUCACCAGGUCCAGAUGAAAUAAGGAUUGACAGAUUGAGAGCUCUUUCUUGAUUUUUCAGGUGGUGGUGCAUGGCCGUUCUUAGUUCGUGGGGUGACUUGUCUGCUUAAUUGCGAUAACGAGCGAGACCUUACUCUGCUAAAUAGCCAGGCUAACUUUGGUUGGUCGCCGGCUUCUUAGAGAGACUAUCAACUCAAGUUGAUGGAAGUUUGAGGCAAUAACAGGUCUGUGAUGCCCUUAGAUGUUCUGGGCCGCACGCGCGCUACACUGACAGAGCCAACGAGUUCUUUUCCUUGCUCGAAAGAAUUGGGUAAUCUUGUUAAACUCUGUCGUGCUGGGGAUAAAGCAUUGCAAUUAUUGCUUUUCAACGAGGAAUGCCUAGUAAGCGCGUGUCAUCAGCAUGCGUUGAUUACGUCCCUGACCUUUGCUCACGCCGCCCGUC
rnacentral:rRNA from 1 species